CGCCAUGAUGAGGAGGUCGGCGCGGCUGUGCUGCGGGCAGGCAGCGGAGAGGGCUCGCGGCGAGGGCUCCAGCUUACCCCGCCGCCGCGUCGCGUGCACGGAGCGCUUCAGAGGUUUGGAGGGGGCCGGAACCUCAAAAGCAACUGGAUGAGCACAACGCGGACGCCCCGGAGAAGCGGCGCAAGCGGGCCCAAAAUGGUUGCUGAUCAGACGAGUGGCAUCUCUCGCCCCCCUACCGCGGGAAUUGGGACCUCCAGACUGUGCCUGGGGGAUCGGCAAGUGGUUCCCCUCUGGUUUUUUCGGCGCUGCCUUCCCGGUGGUAUCCUCACUCUCUCUCUUUGAAAUGACCUCUGCUUUCCUAUCUCUAACUCUUCCCAGAUAUUUGAAAGCAAGUUUUUGUACAAAGCAACAUAUGAAUGUAUUCAGCCAUUCGAUCGUUCGGCGAACAUUUCUAGGUGUCUCGUGCUGUGCCAGAUAUUGUUCUGAGUGCGCUGAAGAUGCACCUGUUAGCAAGACAAAGUCCUGGCUCCCACGGAGCUUAUUCGAAGCAAUAGGGGCCCCCAAGCAGAUCCCAACAUUAAUACCAUCGCCUCCAGGCAGCAUUUUUUCAUCUCCCAAGAUUGGGUGCAUUAGACCCUUUGUCAUCACACCCAGUACUCCCCACGUUUAUUGAGCGCUCACGAUGCGUCAGGCCCUAGUGGAAGCCUUUAUGCACAUUAUCUUCUUUCUCAUUUAAUUAUCAAGUAGAGCCCACAAGGUAGGUACUACCUUUUUUUUAACUUUUGAGACAGGGUCUCACUGUAUCUCCCAGACUGGAAUACAGUGGCGCAAACACAGCUCACUGCAGUCUCAUCCUGGGCUCAAGCAAUCCUCCCAUCUCAGCCUCCUGAGUAGCUGGGACCACAGGCAGAUGCCUGUUGCCCAGGCUGGUCUCCAACUCCUGGGCUCAAGCCGUUCUACCUUAGCCUCCUAAAGUGCAGGGAUUACAGGUGUGCAACUGUGCCCGGCCUGGGUAGUUACUAAUAUUAUCCCAUUUUACAGAUGAAGAAACAAGGACAUAUAGGGGUUACUUGCCCAAACCCAGACAAUAAGCUAGAUCUGAAAGUCAUCAGCCUGACCUCAGAGUUGUACUUUUAACCAUUAUCAGGGUCUCAGGC
rnacentral:lncRNA from 1 species